rnacentral:rRNA from 1 species
GAUGAACGCUGGCGGCGUGCCUAAUACAUGCAAGUCGAGCGAAUGGAUUAAGAGCUUGCUCUUAUGAAGUUAGCGGCGGACGGGUGAGUAACACGUGGGUAACCUGCCCAUAAGACUGGGAUAACUCCGGGAGACCGGGGCUAAUACCGGAAACAUUUUGAACCGCAUGGUCCGAAAUUGAAAGGCGGCUUCGGCUGUCACUUAUGGAUGGACCCGCGUCGCAUUAGCGAGUUGGUGAGGUAACGGCUCACCAAGGCAACGAUGCGUAGCCGACCUGAGAGGGUGAUCGGCCACACUGGGACUGAGACACGGCCCAGACUCCUACGGGAGGCAGCAGUAGGGAAUCUUCCGCAAUGGACGAAAGUCUGACGGAGCAACGCCGCGUGAGUGACGAAGGCUUUCGGGUCGUAAAACUCUGUUGUUAGGGAAGAACAAGUGCUAGUUGAAUAAGCUGGCACCUUGACGGUACCUAACCAGAAAGCCACGGCUAACUACGUGCCAGCCGCCGCCGUAA